rnacentral:lncRNA from 1 species
CAGCGUCAUCCGAAGACAGAUGAUUUCCAGAUAAUAACUUUAGUAUAAGUAAAUAGAAAUCAAUAAAAUUUUAACACAAUGUUUAUAACCACAAAAGGAAGCUUGGGAUUGAUUUUGGGGGUUAUGGUCCCUAAGAUUUAGGAAUUAGGGGCCCAAAACAAGCAUUUAUCUAGUGUCAGUACAAAAAGUUGUGCAUAAGUAUUUCAAUUGUUCUGAAAUUGAACCACAAUGUUUAAAACCAGAAGUAGAAGGUUGGAAUAUAUUUUGUGGGUUAUGGGGCAAACAGUCCAGGAAUAAAGGG